rnacentral:rRNA from 1 species
UGGCGGACGGGUGAGUAACGCGUGGGUAACCUGCCUUACACAGGGGGAUAACACCUGGAAACAGGUGCUAAUACCGCAUAAGCGCACAGGGCCGCAUGGCCCGGUGUGAAAAACUCCGGUGGUGUAAGAUGGACCCGCGUCUGAUUAGCUUGUUGGCGGGGUAGGGGCCCACCAAGGCGACGAUCAGUAGCCGGCCUGAGAGGGUGGACGGCUACAUUGGGACUGAGACACGGCCCAAACUCCUACGGAAGGCAGCAG